UCUCGUUAAAUUGACGCUUGCGACAUUCC
rnacentral:sRNA from 1 species